CGUCAGCGUCAGCGUGGGCGGCGGGCAGGCGGCCGCGGGGCCCGCGCCCGCCGAGGGCACCGCCUUCAAGCCCUUCUACAAGGGGUACGUACGCGGCGACGACGCAGCCGCAGACGCCCUGGAGCAGUGCGUCCGCGCCGGAGUGUGCGACGGAGCAGUGCGCGGCGGGGCGUCGCCAGACUGAAGGCGCGCCGCGGCGGCGCUGCGGGCGCACGACGGCGACCACGAGCGCGUGUGAACACUGUGUGCGGGUGUGCGACGCGGACCUUGUAUAGUUAUACAUACAUAUAUAUAUUUGUUGUUGUUCGUUAAACUUUACUGUGCUUUUGGAGACUACUACAUCAAACGCCCAGUCGCUGGCGGCUUUCAGUCAUUGUGCAGUGCGCCUCGGAUGCGGCCUGUUGUGGACCACGAGCUUGAGAGACGUGGGUUCUAUCCCGUAGUAUUCAGUUUGGUUUCCUGCAAGUGCCAGAUUGCCGCUGAUACAUUUCGACUUACAGACUCUGUCGGAUAGAGCUGUGCAACUAAAAAAACUUUUGUUUUGUCAUAAACGUGAAGAGGAUAUACCGCCAACUACAUAGAUGAAACUGAUGCUUUUUAGCGGACAAGUGACAGCAGAAAAUUGCAAGAAACAUGGCGCUUUCCAAAUUUUGUGUCAAUUUUUUCCCCUCUCUUCCUGGGGUUUGAUAUACAGUCAUCUAGAAUUUUAAGGAUGUGACUUGGUUGGAAAAGGCAUUUUUUAUAUGGAAAAGGGAAAAAUUGGUCGUAAUCUUGUGGAUGGAACCAACCCGGCAUUCGCCUGAAGUGACUUAAGAUAAAUAUGAACGGACGACACUGUUGUCCCCGCUUCUUGUUCAUUGCGCCACCUCGCUCGGUGUCUACAUUUUGUUGUUCUGUCGCCACGCGAAGCUGUAAAAUUCCUCUUCGAGCUUCACUUCAUCCAGCGGCUGGUAUUUUACAGAUAUCUUCAGCUCCCAACGUGGUCGCCGUCAUACAGGUGCGUUCCUCGAGACUUGCAAUUCGUCCACGAUAAGGCCCUGUUGACGUUACCAUUAGGAAAUAGUGUCACACCAUUUGCAGGCACGAGGCGAAAGCCUUGUGUGAACGGAGAUGACAGAUCUGACACUCAAGUCGGCAUCGGGCCUACUGCUGCUUUAUGUGUGUGUGUGUUUGUUUUUGUUUGUGGUACCUGAAAGUAAUUAGAUCUAUUGCGCUUGGCGCUUGUGCAAUAUUUGCCUUCUAUAACACGAAGGUUGACAGGGAUUGUGCUAUGAGGUGGCUUCGCUCGGUGUGCACGGAACCCGGGUACAUAUUUAUAGGUGUUAGCCCUGCUUGGUAUACGAAAACAGUACCCCAGUGCGUGGGCACCGCAGGUGAACCUCCUCCGUCAACUUGCAGCGGUUUGUAAGCUGCGCUUGUACAGAAAUGUGGUGACGAAGCUGAGAGACAUUCUGCAGAAUGCCCACAUCAGAGAAACGACGGCUGUUUAGGUCCGAUUUCGUAAGAGACGCUGUGUAUCUGUCGCUAUAUCAGUUUCGUUGUCACUACCAUUGUUUUGCUUCAGAGACUUUUUAAACAAAAGUAAAGAAUGUGCACAGGUUGUAUUUAUUGUACUGACUUAAAACUUGGGACAAUUAUGACGUAAGUGGGCAAUUGUAUUGUGAAAGAACAUUUAUUUAUCUGUGAUAAACGACGGGAGAUGACAGCAAACAAAGAAAAAAGUAGAUGUAUUUAGGGGGCUGUGGUGAAGAGAUGGACUCGUAUUUGGAAAAAAUGUACCCACAGCUGUCUUUGGGCACCAAUUCUUCGGUUGUCUUCACGUUUCAUUCGAAUACUGUUGUGUGAAAAUCCAUUGUAACCCCGUUGCAGAAACAUGAACACGUAAUUAACCUACAAAAAUACCGUUUUAUUAUUUCUUGUAAUGAUAAUAUUAUAUUAACGAUAAUAUUGAAAUUUAUUAAUGAUUCCAUGUAAAUUUUAUUUGUAAAUAGCCCUGUGUGAAUAGAUAUAUUAUUGUCUAUUUCA